GUAAUGAAUAAUGAAAGAGAUGGAUGAUGCCCUAAGGCGGAAGAGGAAUAAUUAGAAGUAUGCUCGCCAAGGAUUCGCAUCCUCGUGCCUACGUAUUCUCAUCGUGCAAUGAGAAAGUCAGAGCAAUCAUAGUUCGGAACCACGAGAAUAGGAAGAGAGAGACAUACAGUGAUGAAGAGUAUGAAUUAUACCAACAUAAUGGUAUCAAGGGAACCCACAAAUGGGUGGAACUUGGAAUCAAAGAGUAAACAAGCCUCUCAGCCAAAGGAAUGAAUUGAAUGUCUUGAUACGAGCCAAACAAC
rnacentral:lncRNA from 1 species